UGCAGCAAAUGGUAUAUAGCACAAUGGUAUAAAUGUUUUUUUUUUUUUCUCAAUCAGUGAUGAGGGGGAAUAUCAAACAAAAAUCAGUAAUAAAAAUCUGUCAGAGGGUUUACAGCCACAGCACCACAUGUACAGACAUGCAUGAUGACGUUUGGAUGCGUAAGAGCAUGCAGAAAGGCCGACACACACACUCUCUAUAUAUAUGUGUCUGUUACAAGCUCAUACACACACACACACACAACACUUUGCAAUCCCAGUUCCACUUCAGAGCCAAGGCUAAUUGAGUUUUCACCAAAUAGACUUGUUAACCUCCUGCUGAUUAAUGAGGUUACCAAUCCACUAACAAGCCGAGCCCACUGCCUCUGUUUCUGCAAGACACACACAGAACAACACAGACACAGGAGAGGACAAAAAGCAAUUAUCAAAGUCAAACGUUCUAUGCAAUGACUCAUUUUGAAACGUGGAAGUGACUCACUCUAAAGCAGUUUAGCACCGUCGCUGUACUCACAACAAAACAUUAGAAUCAUGAACAAAAAAAAAAAGGUAUAAAAAAAAUAAAUAAGUGAAAUGAAAAUGUUUUUACCUGGAAUCUUGUCUGUAUGAAUUUGAAUACUGAGUAUUGAUCUAGACUUGUUUUUAUUUUCGUGGCAUGUUCUUAACCCUCCUCACGCUCCCUAAAAAAAAUGGGGAAUUGUGGGGGACUUGUUGCCAAAGGGUAAACUUGUGUAGACUGUCAGUUUUAUGAAUGUCCACCAUCAUGUUGCUUUUGAAGCAUGGGGUUUUGCUUGGCUUCAUCUGGCUGUUGUUUAUGUUUUUUUGUUUUUUUUGUUUUGUUUUUGUUUUUGUAAUCCCUCAUUCAGUCGUCGUGCAUUUUGGCUGACCUGUUUGGCUUGCAGUGACUGUCUGUGCUGCUAUGAACCUGUACUGCAGAUGGUCGAGCACUUCUCAUCAAUUCGUGUCAGUGUACAUAUUUGGGUGUCAGUAUAACCUGUGGGGUGAAUGGAAUGUUUAUAUUGGAUAUACGUCAUUGUUGACUCAACCCACACAGCAGCCAAGUCAUUUGAAAAGUGCAUGAUUAGAUUAUUCUUGAACGUCAUAGUAGAAAUAAUAAUAAUAAUAAAAAAGAGAAUAAUAAUAAUAAUGAUUAUUAUUAUUAUUACUGUUGUUGCCUAAGCCUAGUGUAUGUGGCUGACUUGUACUAACUCUUUACAACAGUGGAACAAAACUCGUGCACAUAUCCACCCAUCCAGUGUGUGUAGAGUUUCCCUACGUAUCGUGUCAAGAAGCCUUUGUCAGGCUAACAGAAGGCUAUCAGUUUUGAUGGAUGUGAUCUCGGAGGUUGAGAAGAGGGGGAAAAAAAAAA